rnacentral:lncRNA from 1 species
GAAAGGAUCCAACCAAGGUUGAUAGAAGUGGUGCUUACAUUGUGAGGCAGGCAGCAAAGAGCAUCGUUGCCAGUGGCCUUGCUCGCCGCUGCAUUGUGCAGGUUUCUUAUGCUAUUGGUGUCCCAGAGCCCCUUUCAGUGUUUGUUGACACUUAUCGAACUGGAAAGAUUCCGGACAAGGAGAUCCUGAGGAUUGUGAAGGAGAACUUUGAUUUCAGGCCUGGAAUGAUUGCCAUUAACUUGGAUCUCAAGAGGGGAGGAAAUAGCAGGUUUUUGAAGACUGCUGCAUAUGGGCAUUUUGGAAGGGAGGAUCCUGACUUCACAUGGGAGGUGGUGAAGCCCCUCAAGUAUGAGAAACCCCAAGAGUAGAAUUUAAGUAUGCAGUUUCAUUCUUUGUUUGAACUCAAUAAUUUACUUGUUCUUUCGUCUGCCUGUCAGAUUCUGUCUUUUUUCUCUCUUGGUCUUGGCCUUUUUUUUUAUAAAUAAAUUUGUAUUAUCUUU